AAAUUCGUAGCUUAAAUGGUAAAGCAACGACCUUCUAAGUCGUAUAAUGCUGGUUCGAUUCCAGUCGAAAUUA
rnacentral:tRNA from 1 species